rnacentral:rRNA from 1 species
GAUGAACGCUGGCGGCAGGCUUAACACAUGCAAGUCGAGCGGGGAAGGGUAGCUUGCUACCUAACCUAGCGGCGGACGGGUGAGUAAUGCUUAGGAAUCUGCCUAUUAGUGGGGGACAACAUUCCGAAAGGAAUGCUAAUACCGCAUACGCCCUACGGGGGAAAGCAGGGGAUCUUCGGACCUCGCGCUAAUAGAUGAGCCUAAGUCAGAUUAGCUAGUUGGUGGGGUAAAGGCCUACCAAGGCGACGGUCUGUAGCGGGUCUGAGAGGAUGAGCCGCCACACUGGGACUGAGACACGGCCCAGACUCCUACGGGAGGCAGCAGUGGGGAAUAUUGGACAAUGGGCGCAAGCCUGAUCCAGCCAUGCCGCGUGUGUGAAGAAGGCCUUUUGGUUGUAAAGCACUUUAAGCGAGGAGGAGGCUACCGAGAUUAAUACUCUUGGAUAGUGGACGUUACUCGCAGAAUAAGCACCGGCUAACUCUGUGCCAGCCGCCGCAGUAA